AAUACUGUACCACCUUUGGCUAGUGCUGCAGUUGCCCACUCAUCAGGAAACAUAGACAAAGAUAUUACUAUAUUCAGUUCACCAGAAUCAAAUCACCUCCAGUCACAUAAAGAAGAACAUGGAAUUCGUCGGUCUGAGCGACAGAAGAAGUAUAGUGCUAAAUCUGUUGAAAUUGCUGGAACUACUGGUGAAUCUGUUGAUACCGCUAGAACUACCAGUAAAUCUGUCUGUAAAUCUGUAGACACUGCUAGAAGUUCCCAUAAAUCUGUUGACACUAAUGGAACUACCAGUAAAUCUGUUGACACUACUAGAGAUACCAGUAAAUCUGUUGACACUGCUACAACUUCUCAAGGAUUGAAGUUUAAAAGAAAACAGACAUUAAAUUUUGUUGGAAAACGAAUUCAGCAUGAAUGGGUAGUGAAUGAGGAUACUGGCGAAAAGCAGUGGUACAAUGGAACUGUUCUCAGAAUAGUUAAAGGAAAAGAUGGAUCACCAAAGGCUGUGUAUGAUGUGAAGUACGAUAAUGAAGAAAAUGCAACUGAAGUAGACAAUUUGAUAGCUGACCUGAAGGAUGGUUCAUUAAAGUUCUUGGAUGACUGAUGUACAGAUAAUCUCUGAGAUAUACUGAUACUCUACCAGUCCACACCAUUAGUUUAAACUUUACACUAGUCCACUUCAGGAGUAUGAACUUUACAUUAUUCCAGCUCAGGAGCAGUCCAUAUCAGGAGUAUAGACAACACUAGUCCACAUCAGGAGUAUCAACUACACUAGUCCACAUCAUGAGUAUGAACUUCACAUUAUUUCAGUUCAGGAGCAGUCCAUAUCAGGAGUAUAGACAACACUAGUCCACAUCGGGAGUAUCAACUACACUAGUCCACAUCAUGAGUAUGAACUUUACAUUAUUCCAGUUCAGGAACAGUCCAUAUCAGGAGUAUAGACAACACUAGUCCACAUCAGGAGUUACUGUGUAGACCCUACACUAUAGUCCACGUCAAGAAUAUAGACUCCACAUCAGUGCAUAUCAGGCAUACAGACACUAAAUAGCCUGAGCACCUAUGAAAAAAUGGUAGUCGCAUAAUGGCGGAUUCAAAUAGUUCUCAGUUCUUUUUGCUGUAAGAAGGAUUUUUCCUUGAAAUCAUUGCU
rnacentral:lncRNA from 1 species